rnacentral:rRNA from 1 species
UACGUAGGGGGCGAAGCGUUGUCCGGAAUUAUUGGGCGUAAAGGGCGCGUAGGCGGAUCUUUAAGUCUGGUGUGAAAGAUCAGGGCUCAACCCUGAGAGUGCAUCGGAAACUGGGGAUCUUGAGGACAGGAGAGGAAAGUGGAAUUCCACGUGUAGCGGUGAAAUGCGUAGAUAUGUGGAGGAACACCAGUGGCGAAGGCGACUUUUCUGGACUGUAACUGACGCUGAGGCGCGAAAAGCGUGGGGAGCAAAAC